UUUCCCUUUUCCAGACUCCCCAGGUUGCCCAGGUGGUGGCUUCUGACAUGUGGCCCAGAGAUGGGUAAUGUGCCAAGGCUGUAACAAGCUUUGAGGGAAGCACAUGUCACACUGCGGUGCGAACGCCCAGUCAUCACGCUUAUGAACUACAAAAGGAUCAGGAUCACCGUGGAUGCAGGUUGGGCCCUAAAUCCAGUAUGACUGGUGUCCUUACAAGAAGAGAAGUGAUAGAGAGACAGAGCCACCCGAGAGAAAGCCACAUGAUGACUGGAGCAUAAAUACCACCACAAGCCACGAAACACCAAGUAUUGUCGGCAAACCACCAGAGACUGGGAAGCAGCAAGGAAGGAUCCCUGCUGAGAGCCUUUAGCGGAAGCGAGGUGCUGCUGACAACUUGAGUUUGGACUUCUAGCCUCUAGAAGCACGAGAGAAUACUAUUCUACUGUUUUAAGCCACGGAGUUUGUGGUAUGCGUUACAGUGGCCCUAAGAAGCGAA